UGGGGAAUUUUGGACAAUGGGCGAAAGCCUGAUCCAGCAAUGCCGCGUGUGUGAAGAAGGCCUUCGGGUUGUAAAGCACUUUUGUCCGGAAAGAAAUCCUUGGCUCUAAUACAGUCGGGGGAUGACGGUACCGGAAGAAUAAGCACCGGCUAACUACGUGCCAGCAGCCGCGGUAAUACGUAGGGUGCAAGCGUUAAUCGGAAUUACUGGGCGUAAAGCGUGCGCAGGCGGUUUGCUAAGACCGAUGUGAAAUCCCCGGGCUCAACCUGGGAACUGCAUUGGUGACUGGCAGGCUAGAGUAUGGCAGAGGGGGGUAGAAUUCCACGUGUAGCAGUGAAAUGCGUAGAGAUGUGGAGGAAUACCGAUGGCGAAGGCAGCCCCCUGGGCCAAUACUUGACGCUCAUGCACGAAAGCGUGGGGAGCAAACAGGAUUAGAUACCCUGGUAGUCCACGCCCUAAACGAUGUCAACUAGUUGUUGGGGAUUCAUUUCCUUAGUAACGUAGCUAACGCGUGAAGUUGACCGCCUGGGGAGUACGGUCGCAAGAUU
rnacentral:rRNA from 1 species